rnacentral:rRNA from 1 species
GCAUAACGCGAAGAACCUUACCAAGGCUUGACAUGCAUCUCUAAGCGCGUGAAAGCGCGUGACCCUUCGGGGGAUUUGCACAGGUGCUGCAUGGCCGUCGUCAGCUCGUGUCGUGAGAUGUUGGGUUAAGUCCCGCAACGAGCGUAACCCUUGUGACUAGUUGCCAGCACGUUAUGGUGGGAACUCUAGUCAGACUGCCCAGAUCAACUGGGAGGAAGGUGGGGACGACGUCAGGUCAGUAUGGCCCUUACGCCUUGGGCUGCACACGUACUACAAUGCCCAGCACAAUGAGAACCGAGACCGCGAGGUGGAGGAAAUCUAAAAAACUGGGCCCAGUUCGGAUUGGAGGCUGCAACUCGCCUCCAUGAAGUUGGAAUCGCUAGUAAUGGCGCAUCAUCUACGGCGCCGUGAAUACGUUCCCGGGUCUUGUACACACCG